GCAAGCUAUUAACAUAGCAGGGGAUAAGAAAAUCUUAAUGAAACAACUUGCAAUAAAAAGCCUAAAUAAGGCUCUCUUUACAGGAAGUGUUUAUGGAAGGCUGUGCAAGUCACAUGCAGGGAGGUGUGACUAGGGUUCAUAAACAAAGGGAUUUAGCUCCUAAUGGCAGAGGAUUGAGCAGUGAGGCUGCAGGGGCAUGUUCUAUACACCAAAACUGCUUCAUUAAGCUAAAGUUGUUCAGGUGACUAUAGUGUCCCUUUAAGGGGACAGAGAUGCCACACUUAGAGCACUUGAAUGAGAGGAAGUGUUCUGGGUACCUACAAAAUAUAUAAAGGGGAGCAAGCAAAAAUGUACUGAUUUCACAUUACAAUCAGUGGUGCCACUUUGGUUGAUAUGUCCAUUGCCUGGUUAUGUAGACUCCAUGUAACUAUGAAGAUCACUAGAUUUGUUUAUCAGAUUUUGUGGGAGGGGAGCAGCUUGAUCCAACAAGAAUAUAGACUAAAUUGACCUCCCAUAAUCUAGGAGUAGAUGUAAACACUAAAUUGAAAAGUAGCAACAAGUUUCUUUCUUUCAUGAGCAGUUGUCCUGCAACAUAUGCUUCCUCAGCACACCUGAAAUUCGAUAUAUGUAAUCUAUAAGAAGUCUAGCAGAGAUGAAAUGCGUUGAGGGUGGAAGGAGGACUUACCAGUACUGUUAAUGCGUUUGACUAAUGACAUGGUGUUCAUUUGAUUUUGAUCACAUUUGUGAUAUUUUAAAGGGUACCUGUUCUAAAAAAUUUUUUUGUUUAAGCAAUACAAAGCCA